CAAGAAAGGGACGGUAAUUAGACAAGAAAAAAGAUCCCAAAACCUAGCCCUCAAUUUCUUUUCAUCACCAGCCGCCACACCCCUCCCCGCUUCCCAAUUUCUUCCGUCAACCACUGAAUGAGAAGAAAAAUAGGUAAUAUUUUUGUUAAACUUAUGUUCAAGUGGAGAUUAGGUUUCAAGAUCAAUGAUAUUGUGGAAUGCAUUGCUGAAAUUUGAGUUGGACGGAGAGAGUUAUCAUAAAUUUUGUGCAGGUAGAUUGGUGGAAUUAUCAGAGUAGCAAUCAAGCUAAAAUGUAUAUUGAUCAAGCUGAGAUGCAGUCAGGGAUCGUGGAAGGAGAAGAUUGUACUGUUUUGGAUCUCAGGAAAGAUAGUGCUAGCGUUAUAGAAAAUUUAUGUACAAUGGUGUUCUGAUGCUAUUAGUACUGGUACUACAUAUUUGUUCGUUCUACAAAAGUAAUACUCCAUCCGUUUCAAUUUAUGUGAUACUAUUUGAAUUUCGAUAGUUAAUUUUCAUUAUUUUAA